rnacentral:tRNA from 1 species
GCAAUAGCUCAGUGGUAGAGCUCCCGCCUCGCAUGUGGGAAGUCCUGAGGUCGAUUCCCGGCUGC